rnacentral:rRNA from 1 species
GAUGAACGCUGGCGGCGUGCCUAAUACAUGCAAGUCGAGCGAACAGACGAGGAGCUUGCUCCUCUGACGUUAGCGGCGGACGGGUGAGUAACACGUGGAUAACCUACCUAUAAGACUGGGAUAACUUCGGGAAACCGGAGCUAAUACCGGAUAAUAUCUUGAACCGCAUGGUUCAAUAGUGAAAGACGGUUUUGCUGUCACUUAUAGAUGGAUCCGCGCCGCAUUAGCUAGUUGGUAAGGUAACGGCUUACCAAGGCAACGAUGCGUAGCCGACCUGAGAGGGUGAUCGGCCGCACUGGAAGUGGGACACGGUCCAGGCGCCUACGAGAGGCAGCAGAAGGGAAUCGGCCGCAAUGGGCGAAAGCCUGACGGAGCAACGCGGCGUGAGUGAUGAAGGUCUUCGGAGCGUGAAACUCUGUUAUGAGGGAAGAACAAAUGUGUAAGGAACUAUGCACGGCUUGACGGUACCUAAUCAGAAAGCCACGGCUAACUACGUG